GAAAAAUUUGAAAACUAACAAAUAGCUGGACAACUAUAUUUAAUCAUUAUUAAAAAAAAUGAUCACAAUAAAUAGAAAUUAACAAUAAGCAAAAUAUCACCAAAAGAUAAAUGAAUCAAUAGUAAAACAUAAGAAAGAACCAAGCAAACAAUUUAUAGAGGUGGGUUACCGUACUGAAGUAUUUUCCAGCCAGAUUUGAAACUCCGCCUGAAUUGCUUCUCGCCAAACUGCUCUUCGGUUGUUGUUGUCCUCGCUGCUGUCCGUUGGAGCUGUUGUUUGCAGCGCGCUGCUGUUGCUCGCUGGUGGUGGUGCUGUUUUUCAGUCAUUUUCAAUGACUGCUUCGCCGCAAAAAAGGGAGAAAACAAAGAGAGGUUAGGUCUGGUUGUUGUGGGUUUGGCGAAGAGAGGGAGAGAGCUUUUUGGGUGAGGGUUGUGCUGGCUUUUGGUGCUCUCUGUUUGAUCUGAGUUUUGGUCCGGAUUCGGUGGGUCUGUUGUGAAGUUGACGGGAAAAACGGGGUCGUUUGGUUCAGCUUAGAGCUUUGCCGAAGCUGCUGGUCGUAAACGAAAAAAACGAAAGAAAUGGGGUUGGCGUUGAGCUGCUUCUUCGGCUGCUGUUACAGAGUUGUUGUUGCCUGAAACUCGCCGGUAAAGAGGAGAGGACGAGCGGACUGUCGGCUGGCGUGCUCUUUGCCGGCACUGCUGUUUGGAAUGGUUGUUUCAGUGUUGCUUCCGAUGGAUUUUUCACCGGAAAAGGGAGAAAAACGAAGGGGUUUGGGGUUUGGGUUUCACCGGAGUUUGGUGGGUGUCAGUGGCGGUUGUUGAUGGUUUGUGGAGGUGGUUUGAAGGUCGAUGCCCGUGGGUUGUUGGGGUCUGUUUUGUUGCUGGAAAUGGUUGGAAAGAGGAGAAGAGAGGAG
rnacentral:misc_RNA from 1 species